rnacentral:rRNA from 1 species
UACGAAGGGGGCUAGCGUUGUUCGGAAUUACUGGGCGUAAAGCGCACGCAGGCGGAUUGAUAAGUCGGGGGUGAAAGCCCGGGGCUCAACCUCGGAACGGCAUUCGAUACGGGACGGCUGGAGACCGGGAGAGGAGAGUGGAAUAGCCAGUGUAGAGGUGAAAUUCGUAGAUAUUGGCUGGAACACCGGUGGCGAAAGCGGCUCGCUGGCCCGGUUCUGACGCUGAGGCGCGAAAGCGUGGGGAGCAAACAGG